CCUACGGGUGGCUGCAGUAGGGAAUAUUGCUCAAUGGGGGAAACCCUGAAGCAGCAACGCCGCGUGGAGGAUGAAGGUUUUCGGAUUGUAAACUCCUUUUGUUAGAGAAGAUAAUGACGGUAUCUAACGAAUAAGCACCGGCUAACUCCGUGCCAGCAGCCGCGGUAAUACGGAGGGUGCAAGCGUUACUUGGAAUCACUGGGCGGAAAGAGCGCGUACGCGGGAUAGCAAGUCAGAGGGGAAAUCCGAGGGCUUAACCAUGGACCUGCAUUUGAAACUGAUAUUCGUGAGUAUGGGAGAGGUAGGUGGAAUUCCUGGUGUAGGGGUAAAAUCCGUAGAGAUCAAGAGGAAUACUCAUUGCGAAGGCGACCUGCUAGAACAUAACUGACGCUGAUGCGCGAAAGCGUGGGGAGCAAACAGGAUUAGAUACCCCAGUAGUC
rnacentral:rRNA from 1 species